rnacentral:lncRNA from 1 species
UGCAAAGGGGAUACGAGUGGAGAUGACGUGUUAAGGCUGUGUGUGUGUGUGUGUGUGUGUGUGUGUGUGUGUGUGUAUGUGUGUGUGUGUUGUUUUGUUCUUAUUGAACAUGACUUGUGCAUACUAUGGAAUCAGUAGAAAAGAUCUGAAAGAGCUGGAGAUAGAGACAGGAGAGUGAAGGGAUGAUAGACAGUUCUAUGUUCCUACCAAAGACUCUUGGCCAAGAUGCAAGGCAGGAAUGAGAGCCUCACCUUUGAUGGGAGGAACAGCAACCCCUGCUACAACAAGAGGCAAGGAGAGGAAAAAGUGAGCCUUUCAGUUGGUGUCGGGAAGAAGAGGCAACCAUUGGCUUAAACACUUUGAUUUCUCUGAAUCUUAGCAGGGUGAAGCAUGGAUGAGGUUAUGACUCAGCUUUGACCAUGCAGCCAAAGACAACAUCCUAGGAACUGUGAGCCAAGGGGAUGGGAGGAAGCCAUGGCCCCGACUGACCCGAUGGAGCUGAGUAGCCCGACCAGUCUGGACCACCCACCCCUGGCCUUUUGCUUGAGAAAUAAAUUAAUUUCAGAUUCUUUAA